ensembl:lncRNA
UCCGCCGCCGGCGCUAACACAAUAGUGAGGGCUGCGCUCCCGGCCGUCGGCAGCCCUGCCGCAGCGGCUGCUCCAGGGGGGCAGGUCGGGUCCAACUUGGCCCGGGCAGGUUCUGUUCCUGAGAAGUGGGACGGUGCUCCCUGCGUCUUGGCCCGCUCAUUUCUUUUCUGUGGAGAAAAUCGUAGAUUAAGCGCGUUUCUUCUCUCUUCACCCUGAGGCCUGCUGUUGGAAUUUCAUUCAGCGGGGAAGAGACCCUGGAUGUCAGAAUUGUAUUUUGCUCGGCCCCAAAUUCCUUCCUGUCAGGAGCUGCUUUCGGACUUUUUUUCCCCUGCGGGUGAAAGGUGUCUCUGCCUGUGUGCUUUGCAGAUCCUUACCAAUUGUGAUGAAAUCUGAGAAUACUCUCGUGCCAAGUGGUUUCUGGUAGGAGGACAGAACUUUUUCGUACCAGGGCAGACCCUGAGCCUGCUGCCGAUAGAGGUCCCAAGUGACAGAUUGCGAGCGUGUCUCUGUGACUUCUACGUGGAUGAAACCCAGCUCCUCUUAGUCGCCGCGUGUGACACAAAGUGAAAAUGCAGUCUUUUGCACUGUUAAAGCUAGAUUCCUGGAAGUGGAAUUGCCGCAUUGUAUGCAAUUAUUACAUGCUUAACCCCCUCGAUUCAGCUGUGAGCUCCUAGAGGGUAAAGCGACUGAGGUACAGAGAAGAUAAGCAAGUUGUCCAGGGUCACACAACAGAGAGAAGUUGAGCUCCAGUCCUUCUCUUCCGCCGUCUUCGACAACACUCUUUUGCCAGUGCAGCCCUCCAGGGAAUAUGUACUGAGUGACACUUCACAGAACGAAACAGAAAGCAGUGGUUGAUUUGACCCACUACAGAUGACAGAAACGGAACCAACCGAGUGACUGAUGACAAUUAUUUCCAACAUUUAAAAUACCGAGAUGAGAAAACUGGCAACAGAAAAACUGGAUAAUUUACCCAAAGUCAUUUCUCUAGGAAAUUAUAGAGCUGGUACUCAAUCUCAGGCCAUCUGAUCCAAAUCCAUGUAAAUAACAGUUAUCCCAGGAGUCUGUAAGAAUGCAUGUGGCCAGCAAGUCCCUGACCUUACAGUGACUGUGAACAUGAGUGGGGGGAGGGAAAACUGGAUCCAUUGGUUCUCAUUCUAUGAACCCAGUGUACGAGGAAUCUUAUUUUCUAAGGAAAUAAACUCAACUUCUGCUAUCAGCCUAGUCAGGUGAGACAGAAGCACGAAGUCAUUUAACUAUCAGCGUACACCUGACCCCUGGUGUCUGCCAGGGAUUGGUUGCAGGCCCCCGAGGAUAACACAGUUCACAGCUGCUCAAGUCCCUUCUAUAACAUGGUGUAGUGUUUGCAUAUAAUCUCCACACCUCCUCCUGUAGACUCUACGUCAUCUCUAGAUUACUUACAAUACAGAAUACAAUGUACAUACUAUGUAAAUAGUUGCCUUCACAUUUGUAAAUUUAAGUUUUGCUUUUUGGAACUUUCUGAAGUUGUGUUCGAAUAUGUUCAUUCUGCUGUUGGUUGAAUCUGGAUGCGGAAACCACAGAUAAGGAGGGCCAACUGUAUGUAACUAUGUGAGAUGAUCCCCAGCUGAAAAAGAGGAAGCGAAACGGAUACACCCUUAUGCCUGUAGAGAUACAAGAUUCUGCUUCCCCAGAUGGCCUCAGCAGGGGUGGGUUCUGUGAGACCUGCUUUAUAAAGAGAAGGGCAAUGUCACCAGACUCAUAUCUGUGGAACUCGGUUAGCAUUCUGUAAAGAGGGAGCCGGUUACACCGUACCAGCUGUCAAUACUCCUGUUUUAAUAAGAAAACCACUUUUGGAACAAAAUCGGACCGACACUGGGAUAGACUAGGAUGGCGUAGACACAACAAGUACUAACUUGGUGUGGGAUUAUUAAGACGCAAGCUCCCCAACCCAGCUGAGUCAAUGGGCAGGAUCCCUUUGCAGUUUUCAACUUGUCCUGAAAUGCUAUAAGCCUCCUGCCACGUGGAAUCAGGGCAGCGUCUGUGGAAACCAAUGAGGACUGUCACACCACCCAGGAAGAGAGCGGCGGGGUGCUGUGAACGGCUAUCUGGAUACGCGUGUCUGGCAGUGAAAAGACAAUGGCUUCUAGCCAUAGAGUCACACCUUUUGAUUAACGAGGAAAAGGGAGGACCUCUUCUGUUUGGACCAACUCAGUAUUCCCUAGACAACUAAGUUUCCUUUUUUCUGCCUCUCCUGACAGUCCUGAGAGGCGGCUUGGACCGUCUCGCCUGGUCGCAUGACUUCUGCUGUCCAGAUCUGCACAGGCUGCCCCUUUCCUCCUCGUUGCUCUCUGGGCUCCUAAACACCAGGUUGGCUUUGGGCGCUCCGGGUCUCCUAAAGCCUUCCUUUGGGACUUCUGGUCAGCUCGGUAGCUGCUAGUUUCUAGCACACUGAAUUUUGCCUGCCUUUGGCCUCUGGAUCACUUAGUUGUUUGUUUGUUUUUUCCCUUUGAUUCUUGUGUACCACACUCCUCUUUUUUUCAUGCUGGCUGGCCCAUUGCCCAGCAGACAUCCAUUUCCAACUUUCCUUACCUGUUUGAUUUUGUUUUACCUGUUUCUGCAAAGCACUAUCAUGACUCAGAAUCCCAGAACUGACAUUUUUGAUGGAGCCGUCAAGAGGAAAUGCUUUUUGGAAAGAGGAAAUGCACAAUUAGAGGAGAAGAUGGUUUAGCCUUCUUUAGAUUUGAGUCUCAGGAAGGCAACAAUAGAGACAAGAAAGUUUAAAAGACCUGAAUUAUAGCAGAAUGCCAUUUGUUGUUGUAAUACAUGUAAAAAAAUAAUAAUUAUCUCAGAAUAAUUUGGAAUAAGAAACCGGAUAGAUCAUUGAUCCUUAAUAAUAGCCAAUUUUUCUUUU